AUUUCUCAAUUUAGUUUCACUGUGUACAAUCCAACCAUGUUUACUUAAUCCAGUCGUGUUGGGAUUAUGAGAAAAGAUUUGUUGCAUCAAAGUGUUUCUGAAACGGGACAGGGGAGUUACAUUUCCCAGCAUGCUUUGCAUGAGCACGUUUUGAAAUGAAGUGUUAUUUGAUGCAUUUCUACACUGUUAGUGUUUAAUGUUCUGUUAUGUUGGGUUUAGAGAAGUCUCUGGCAUGAUGGAGGUUUUUCGGAGGUUAUCAGUGUGGAGAAGAGUUAAACUAAUGGUUAGAUGGAGGAUGGGUGAUUUACAACAUUGUACUUUGCUGGAAUAUGAGUGAAUGUUCAUUUGUCAUGAAGCAAAGACUGAAGGAUCAUCAGCACUCGUCAGCGUCAUUUUUUCAGUGUAUUUUGUAAAACAAGAACCGUGUUAGUCAGCGAACAUUUGAGCUCAGAAGUUCCCCAGAAACACAAUUUCGACACUUUUCUGAAGUCCGACUCCUCAGCUGGUUUGUGUGGGGUGAAAGGUCAAGUGCUACAGGAAGUGUGGGGUGAAAGGUCAAGUGCUACAGGAAGUGUGGGGUGAAGGGUCAAGUGCUACAGGAAGUGUGGGGUGAAAGGUCAAGUGCUACAGGAAGUGUGGGGUGAAGGGUCAAGUGCUACAGGAAGUGUGGGGUGAAGGGUCAAGUGCUACAGGAAGUGUGGGGUGAAGGGUCAAGUGCUACAGGAAGUGUGGGGUGAAGGGUCAAGUGCUACAGGAAGUGUGGGGUGAAGGGUCAAGUGCUACAGGAAGUGUGGGGUGAAGGGUCAAGUGCUACAGGAAGUGUGGGGUGAAAGGUCAAGUGCUACAGGAAGUGUGGGGUGAAGGGUCAAGUGCUACAGGAAGUGUGGGGUGAAAGGUCAAGUGCUACAGGAAGUGUGGGGUGAAGGGCCAAGUGCUACAGGAAGUGCGGAGUGAAGGGCCAAGUGCUACAGGAAGUGUGGAGUGAAGGGUCAAGUGCUAUAGGAAGUGUGGGGUGAAAGGUCAAGUGCUACAGGAAGCGUGUGGUGAAAGGUCAAGUGCUACAGGAAGUGUGGGGUGAAGGGUCAAGUGUUACAGGAAGCGUGGGGUGAAGGGUCAAGUGCUACAGGAAGCGUGGGGUGAAGGGUCAAGUGUUACAGGAAGCGUGGGGUGAAGGGUCAAGUGUUACAGGAAGCGUGGGGUGAAGGGUCAAGUGUAAAUAUCGUAUACCACUUCCUGAGUCUGAAAAACACAUCAAAUGAGUCAAACUUAAAAUUGGAGUGGAUUUGAUCACAUUUCGGCUCUGUUGCUGUGACGUUUGGAUGCUUUUUGAAACCACAUGUACAAAUAAUUGUUCUGCACCAUGUCUGUGUUUACAAGUGAAAAUAUUCAGCAUUCAUCCCAAAAUAAGCAGCUCUGUCCAUCUGGGGUGGUCAAUAAACCACAAGUAGCAUCCGUUGGGACCAUUGAUCAUAUUUAUUCCCAUUGGGAACUGGAGGACUUUUGGAAGGGAUCUGACCACUAAUAUUGUUGUAUGUGCGCUUCAGCGGCACAAAUGUUUGAAGAAACUUCACAGAUGUACAGCACUGUGCUUUGAUGUUUUGUACUUUUGAGACUUUUGUACAUCCACAGGUGUAAAAUUGCAGUUUAUCUUCUUAGAGAAAAUGUUUUCAUUCCCGGUUUUCAUUUGAUCUAAUCACGGCAGAGGGGAGGAGUGGAGAAGUCUCGUAAUCUGUGAGCCCAAACUUCCCAAUGGAGCGAACUGCCCAAUCCGGACAGAAGCAUGAAUUAUAUUUUAUUACGUCUUUAUGCUACACAGUCUGAAACUAGCGGCACAGUGGGCGUGGAAGUUCUCAUACUGCACAAUAUCAUGCUUUUAUAUAUUUUAAUAUAUUUAAUGGAUCACAGAUGGAACAUGUGCAAAACGUUACCAAUUUGUACUUUUCUCCCCAUUUUGGAACGCUCAAUUCCCAAUGUGCUCAAGUCCUCGUGGUGGUGUAGUGACUCGCCUCAAUCCGGGUGGCGGAGGACGAAUCUCAGUUGCCUCCGCGUCUGAGACCGUCAAUCUGCGCAUCUUAUCACGUGACUUGUUGAAUGUGUUACCAUAGCACGUAUGGAGGCUUCACGCUAUUCUCCGCUGCAUCCACGCACAACUCACCACACGCCCCACCGAGAGCGAACCACAUUAUAGAAACCACGAGGAGGUUACCCCAUGUGACUCUACCCUCCUUAGCAACCGGGCCAAUUUGGUUGCUAAGGAGACCUGACUGGAGUCACUCAGCACACCCUGGGAUCGAACUAGCGAACUCCAGAUGUGGUAGAAAGUGACUGAGACAGUCAAUCUGCG